rnacentral:rRNA from 1 species
CUUAGGAAUCUACCUAGUAGUGGGGGAUANCUCGGGGAAACUCGAAUUAAUACCGCAUACGUCCUACGGGAGAAAGCAGGGGAUCAUUAGACCUUGCGCUAUUAGAUGANCCUAAGUCGGAUUAGCUAGAUGGUGGGGUAAAGGCCUACCNUGGCGACGAUCUGUANCUGGUCUGAGAGGAUGAUCAGCCACACCGGGACUGANACACGGCCCGGACUCCUACGGGAGGCAGCAGUGGGGAAUAUUGGACAAUGGGGGGAACCCUGAUCCAGCCAUGCCGCGUGUGNGAAGAAGGCCUUUUGGUUGUAAAGCACUUUANGCAGUGAANAAGACUCUUCGGUUAAUACCCGGGGACGAUGAC